rnacentral:lncRNA from 1 species
UGUGUUCAGCGAUGUCAUCCAUGAACCUGCAAAUUAUUGUGGAAGCUUUGAUGAUCUUAGGGUCAUUGGUUGCCCAUUCAAAUGUCUCUGGAGUUAUAACAUCUCCCAUGCCCACAAAAGCUGUAAUAGCAAGCAUGCCAUAGCCCGAGGUUGGCAAUGCAUUAUCCCUAAACUCCUCAAAUGUUGGUUUGUAAUUUUGAUGAGUCCAUUUGGCUUCUAAAAGGUAAGCUUGAGCAAGUCGUAUCAUCUGCACCAGCAUCAAAAUAUAACAAUUAAUACUAACUAACAUUUCAACUGUAUAACUUUAUCGAAAUAAAAUUGGAUGUUAAUUUAUGGAUGAUUAUAAAGUAUUUUAUAUAUCCAAGUUAACUGUCAAUCUACUUACCGCCUUCUUUGCAUAUUCGACACGGUAUUGUCUCCCUUGCUUUGCUGUUAGUUGCUCCAUUUCUUCAUAAACAUCUAAUAGUGCCUUAUAGCUUAUUUUCAUGAAUUCUGGGAGCUCAUCCAUACAUUUAAUAUCCCACCUGAAACCCAUUUCCGAGGCUAAAUGUUUAAUAUCCAAUCAUUGAUCAUGUAUAUAUUUCAAAAUAAAUGUACAUUCACAAUUUCAACAAAACUAACCUCUCGAUUGCAUUUGUAUAGGGAAUGAGCUCAUCAUAUGUUGCAUAUGAGUCAUACGUAUCAUCUACGAUGGAUGCCAUGGCAAUUACUUUUGUCAUCAUCUUUCUACCAAGAGAGUAUUGUGGCUCAAAGUACACUCCCAUUAUCCAAAAGUAACCUUCAACCACUCUAUCUCUCGCAAAUGGUAACUUUUUUGUAAAGUCUAAAUCCUUCCACCACCUAUAAAAAAAAAAACAAACAACAGAUUUCAAACCCAUUACCACAACUUAAUCUUCAUUUCACUUAGUAGAGUGUUAGGAUUUUGAAGUCUAACAUUCAAACUCUUACCUACAAAUUUCACUUAGCUCUUUUCUAUGCAAAAGCUGUAACAAGUUGAAAUCUAUCUUUGCAAAUUCCAACAAUGCCUUACUAUGGGAUUCAGUAUCCUGGUAUAUAGAAAUGUAUCGCCUAGCCUCGACCCUUGGCAAGCCUCUUCGGAUGGACUGUUUUAAGGCAUGUGCAACUUGUUCCGACAAUGGAUACUCUAAAUUCGGUGCUGCAAGAGUUAGGUGAGUGGUGGUGAAAGAAAUUGCCUCAUCCAAUAUAUCUUCCCCAUGCACCCGCAUAUACGAAGCUUCAUAAAGCUCCAACAGUCCUCGCACAUCAGUGGUUAUGGAUGACAUGAAAUUUCCUUCCUCAUCUUUGAACUUAUCGAAUACCUCUGCUAAAACAAUACCCAAAAGUCAAUAUCAAAAACAUUGGUAGGCUCAAUCAUCUUAAAUAUAUUAAAAGUAUUAAGGAAUGCGUAAAGUAAAAACUAAAUUACCACAUGAAACAUUGAAGCCAUGCUCUCUAAGUAAUCGAAAUCGAAGAGAGGUGGUAUAGAGAUCAUUGUCGACAUCAUUGUUGUCAUGGUAUAUAGCUUCUAAUGCAUCUUCAAUCUCUUCCUCAAAAUGGUAAUACACACCCAACCUUUGGACUGCAUCAAUUAGGGGCAGUUUUUGGUUUGAACUAUCACCCAUGGGAGCCACAAGCAUCCGCCUAACUUCUUCUUUUAGUUCUUCAUAUCGGAGUUGAGUUGCAGUAUCAAUAUCCUGCUCAAAAAUGAAAAUUUCUUUUUAUUAAAUACAAUUUAUUUAAACAGUAUUAAGAUCAAUAAAAAAACAAUACAAAAUAUGUACCUUAUUAGGGCAAUUGAGGAAGAUAUCUCCCCAAAUGCCAGGGUGAAAAUCAGCCUUGGGGCGAUUUUCCAUGUUGCAGGGAAUGGAAGUAUGGGGUGAAGCAAGGAUUUGAGAAACUUGUGAAGCCAUGUAUUUCUCUUGUUGGAACCAAAUAGAUUGUUCAAAGUGCUAAUAAAUUUGUGUUCUUAAAUUAGCACAGAUAUUUGUGUGAGGCUAAGUAUGCAAUUGCAGCAGGUAUUUAUAGAUACCAGAUUACUCACUCAAGUCAAAGAAAGACAAUUUUGAAAAUUAAGGAAAAUUAUAAAAAAUUAAAAAGAAAGACAGAAAAAAAAAACAUGAGCAUAUGGUAUGUAGGAAAGUAAAUAAAAUGGAAAGGCCACUUUCUUACUUUUGUUGGUUUCUAUCUAUUUGUUCCAAGUUGAUGACUGCAAAUAUCUACUAAAUAUUUAAUUAAGAAAUGUGGUAGGCAAUAUAUUAUAUUUCCAUUUUGUUUACUUUGACAGAAUUGAAGUCAUCUAUGUAUUAGCAGACUCUUCGUGACCAACCAUUCUGUUUUAUUUAUUGUUGAAAUUUCGUAACAAACUACAGUAGCUUGUUGGUCAAGACUUUGAGGCAUCCUUCCAUGCAAAUCAGUUGAUUGUAUAAGGGAUAAUAUAAUUUUUUUCCAUAAACUUUGCAAUUAGGUCCGUUUUAAUACUUGAAUUGAUAUUUGGAUCCAUUGUGGUCUCUAAAUUUGAAUUCCGUUAAGAUUUAAUGACGUGACUACUAUUCUUGGAACAUGACUGAAUUGAUUGUUUGGACUAAUUGGACCAAGAACUAAUAGGUAUACUAGUCCAAACAAAGAUUUGAACUGAUUGAAUAAAAAAUUACUCCAAACCGGUAAAAAUUGAAAGCUAGGGUAAAAACCAGUAGUUGCACAAGUGAACCGGUUUAAUAAUUUUUUUUAAAAGUAUUUAUGAAUAUUUAUUGUUGGUUUAGUGGCUGAACCAAUCAAACCAAUUGAAUCAGGAACCAAUAGUUUUAAUUUUUAAGUGUUUAUGAAUAUUUGUAUAGUUUUUUAAUUUUUAAGUGAUGAUGUAAUACGAUCUCAAAGUACCACAUAUUAAAUUUUUAUCUUUUUAAAGUCUAUGGAUAACAAUAGAUUUAAUUGUCAAAUUUAGAGAUAAAAAAAAUUAUAUUAUCGCAUUAUAUAAAAAGGUGAGCAAAUAUUAUAUAUUUACUAGAUAUAUUGAUAUCCACUAAUUGAAUAAUUUUUUAAAGAUAAUUAUGGAUUAUUAAAAAUUUUGGAUUUAAUGAGAAAAAAAUAUUUUAAAAUAUUGUGAAAAGAGAAAAAAAUAUAUUUGUGCAAUUUGUGAAAAGUGGGUAGUAUGUUUUGGACUUGAGGAUUUUUCUAACAAGAUAAGGUGAGUUUUAUUUUAUUUAAAAAAACUAUAGUUAAAAUUUAUUAAAUUAUAUAUAUAUAUAUAUAGAUAUUUCAUUUAAUUAUACUAUUUUUAUUUGAAUUAUAUCUAAUUAACAUAUAACACCAAUUUCAUAAAUAAUUUUUAAUUAAUAGAGAAUUAAAAUACUAACAUAUUAUUAUAAACAAAAAUAAUAGAUAAAAGAUGGAUAUGAGAAUAUGAGAAUUUCUAUUGCAUUCUCUAUUUUUCAUCAUCUUUACAAAUAGCAUACUCCUCUCUUUGUAGACACUCAAAUUUUCCCGGGCCCAGAAAUAAGUCCAAAAACGAAGAUUUCAGUCUAGAAUUACAAAUAUAAUUUGGCCAGAUCGGAAUGGCCCAUUACUUAAAAAUAUUUAAGGUCCAUCUACAAGUUUGACUCAUAUGGAAAUAUAAUCUUCAAUGAUAUGCAAUAUUAGAUAUGAUUGCAAUCUUAGAUAUGAUACAAUCUUAGAUAUGAUAUACAAUCUUAGAAGAUAUGAUUUUGUAAUCUUAGAGAUUUAAUUUGUAGAUAUCCUUUAAUCUUAACCGUUGAUGUAAUUGAUCUGUACCGUUGGAUUUGGGGAGGCUUAACUAUAAAUAGAGGCCUCUCCCCUCAUUGUAAAACAACUUGACUUCACUUGAGUUUUGGGAAGCAAUAAGAAUUAUUGAGAGCAUUCACUCAAAUUUCUCUCCCUCUUGCGUUCUUAUUUUCUACGGUUUGUUCUUAUUUAUUCUUUGUUCAUAUUCGUUUUUAACCUUUUUUUAUUUAAUCCCUAUCUCCUUGAUUUUUUAAUUCUCUUUUAUAUUUUAUUUUUUUAAUAAUUUUAGUAUUAUAUCAAAUUAUUUUUUUAUUAAAUUCUAUAUUAUUCAUUGUUUUAAAAAAUAUAUUUCAUUUAAUUGAAAAAGUUUUUUUCUUAAAUAAGGCAAUGUUUGGUGUUUAGAAAUUCGGAAAAUAGUGCCCUAACAUGCUGGGUUGCGAUUUUUUCGUUUGACUAAAUAACCAAAUAUCCUUUUAAUAAAUUUUCAAAAUCAUGAGAUAAUUUUAGUUACAAGGAUUUAAAACAUCGUGUCCUAACAUGCUGGAUGUGAUGUUUGUAUACUUUCAGAACAAAGGAAUCUCAAGUUUCAACUUUAAAUUGUUCAAGUUUUAAAAUCUUUUCAAAUUUUCGACAUUAGGACAAUAAAUAAUAAAUUCGGUACCAAUUUUGGGCAUUACGAGGGUGCUAAUCCUUCCUUGUGCGUAACUGACUCCCGAACCUGUUUUCUUGCAUUUCGUAGACCAAAAUGUUUUAUAAAGGUGAUCCAAUCACACCUAAAAAGGUUGGUGGCGACUCCCAUUUCAUUUUUUCAAAAAGUCGAACCCCGUUUUUCAAACACCUCUUUUAAAAAUGGUUUCGACAGCUUGACGACUCCACUGGGGACCUAUAAAAGAGUCAAGCCGAAAAUUGAUUAUUUUCUGUCUUAAUGUCGGAAAUUUGGAAAAUUUUUAAAAUAUGUCAUUUUUACAUGUGUUAGUUGCAUAUGUUUGUUAUUGUUUACGCACACAUUGCAUUUGCAUGACCGUUGUGGUCACACCCUUAAGUGGGAGUGAGAAGCUAUGCUUUCGUGAGGUUUUCACCUCCGUAUGGGCUAGUGGAUUGCUUUCGGGAUACAUCUGUACCUAUGUCUUCGUGAGAUUUUCAUCUCCGCAUGGCCAUAGGGAAAUGUGUCCCCCUGAACCGAACUUGGUCCAUAUGAGCCUAUAAUUGGUGAGGAUCGAGGAAUCUGCUGGUUCAGGUACCCUUGCUUUAGAACUGAACUACAUAUAGUAAACUUUAAGUGCUUGCCCCAGGUAGUAUGAUGAUGACCUUUAGUGCCUACCUUUAUAAGUUCUUAUUUAUUAUAUUUUUUAUAUAUGUGACACUGACUUGUUUUUCUUAUUUUGCUAUCAUUUCAUGUCAUUUAUCAUUAAAAGGUGUCGAUUCAAGGUUCGAUUUCUGAGUUAGAAAGUUUUGUAAUGGGGAACGAAUAUCUUAAUAAAGUGGAGGACAACUCUUUCGUUUGUGCUUGGUCAGAGAAAACCCAAAUAGAAAAAGGAAAUAGUGUCAUCGAAGGAUACACAUCAGAAUUAUGGGAUUACACUCUCAUCAGUGUGAUGCAAAAUAACCUCCAAGAGUUAAAGGAAAUAUUGGAUUAAUGGAGUAACGAAGCCAAGCAGUUGUUCUACAACAGUUAUGGGGAAUUGCAGUAUUUGCUUGACAUGAAGAUAGAUGAACAAUUCAAGGUGAGCGUGGGGAGUAUUGAGGGACACUUCUACCAUUAUAGAUGAAGAUAGUCACCUCGUGGAUGGUAGGGGUAUAAGACAUACAAAAUUGAAUUGGAUGGAAAGAGUUUUGCUUAUGAUGGUAGAAAGGCUCACUUACUAUAAGACCGCUACCAAACAACAAGCUGGAAUUUACUGUGGUACUUUAGGAUGUUGUACCUAUCAGAAAUAAUGGAAAUGCAAGACCUAAUGACCGGGACAACCCAAAUGAGCAUGAAAGAAAGAGAUUAAAGAAGAUCGUAUCGUUUAAAGACUUUUAAAGUGGAGAUUAGCUAUGCUGCUAAGAUACUCAUGCAAGCAAUUCGAAAUGUUCUGUGGAGGCAGAAAUUUAAAGACUCUCAAGAAGCACUGAGGAUGUUUGAUAUCAUUUUAAGGCAGUAUGCUGCAAAGCUGGAAUGCCUACUUGUUCGCUAAUCUUUAUUUCAAGGUAAUCAGAGCAACUUCACAAAUAUUGGAGGAGGUGUCUUUGGCUGUAGAGCUUCCUUCAUAGGUGAAGCCGUAAUUCAAAUUCAAGAGAUAGCUGAUCAUUUACAAAUACUGGUAGAAAGGGCAAGCACAUUGAGCACCAAUAUGAGCUACAGUUCAAAUAGAGGUCGAGAGUUAGCUUUGUUAUUAGAUAGGGUUAAGACUCUGGGCCUACGAGCAAAAGUGUAUUUGUAAUCCGUUUUAUGAAAAGAUUUUUGUUCCUUAAAUAACGUUUUCUAAAAUAAAACUGAAUCGAGAUCGAUACCUUUUUGCAUUCAUGCAUUUACAUUACAUUACAUCAAAGAAAAGAAGGUGUUGAUUCAAAAUUCUAUUCCUAAAUAGAAUAGUUUGUCAUAAGGAAACAAAUUUCUUGAUAAAGUAGAUUAUAGUGCGGUCGUCUAAAUAUAGUCCAAGUAAACACGACGAGAGAAAGCUGGUAGUCCACGGAGGAAUACAUGAUGUAAUUGCCAGAGAUUCAAGCCAACAAAUGUUAUCCAAGAGCAUGAUGAGAGAAAGCCGGAAGUCCACGAAGGAAUACAUGACUUGAUUUAAUUGCCAAUAAAGAUUAUCCAAGAGCCGGCACUUUUUGAUAAGUAUCAUGAAGAUAAGCGAGCAAGAGAUCGAGGCUUAGAUUAAGCAGCAAGGAGCUAGCAAAGGUAUCUUUUGGAGAAUUUACAGGAUUCGACCAUGAAGAAAAGAUCAGCGUUUACUUGGACUAUGAAGGGCAAGAUCGCAUAUGUAAUCUACUUUCAUGUAAAGAAAUCUAUUUUCUAGAAAAGUUAUUCUAAUGGAAUUGAAUUAAAGAUCAAGAUCUCCUUUUCUUUUGCAUUCAUGCAUUUGCAUUGCAUCACAUCAAAUGCAUUUAAAUCCAUAAAAAGACCCUAAUUAGUUAAAGUUAUUAAAAAGAGAAAGAAAAAGGGAGAGAGAGAAGAGGGUCACGGCUGAGUGAAAAAGAAGUUGAAUGAAAAUUAACGACGUUCUCUUACAUAUCCUCGACUUUUGUGUCAGGAGGGAUAGCUUACCUGGAGAAGGAGAUGUUUGGAAAUGAAAAUCAUCCCAUCAAUGUCAUACAUGAGGAAGGGACUGAACAAAGAAACCUUGAGGGCAUUCGCCCUUACGAAUCGGGAAUUUCUUUAAACAAUUGGACUGCAGAAGAACUUCCUGCAAUCUUUAGGAAUUUUACGGAGUAAUAUUCAGAACACUCUUGUUGCUCUAAAGCCUAGGAGUAAUGAGAUUUCUUUUGAGAAGUGGGCUCAUGUUCAGACAUUUUUAUUUUUAAUAAAACAUACUUUUAUUUAUCCGAGUAAAUAUUAUUUCAUUCUGAUUCUUUUGACCUUUGACAUUCUUUAUAAAUUUUCAUUUCAUGUAAAUAGUCAUUUUUGAAUUCAUUUAUUCCUUGUAUAUUCUUUUGUGUGCCUAUCAUAGAUCCCUAGAUAUCAAUGACACGAGCAGCGAUACUACUGAUUCAGAGUUCCUUUUGAGUGCGAUAUGUGUUUAGAGGAAUCUCAGUACUUUGAAGGUGACAGAAAUUGUGACUUGUUUCUGAAUUUGUUGAAAAUGGUUUUUACCCCAUGAAGUGGUGGUAGGAAAUGUAGCCUUAGAGGAAGGAAAGAUUGUGAAAUUGGAAUUAGCUGAGGAGACAAGACAAGACCUUGUUGAGACUAUUAUGGGAAUUCAAAAAUGUGGUCCAAAAACGCAUGCAGGAGGAUUUGCAAUUGCCAGAAUAAACAUGAGGUUUUGGGGCACUGUUGGUCCACCAUGAAAAGGGAUCGCAUCAGUUGUACAAUGAAUGCCAAAUUUAAGGGAGUCAAGACUUAUGGGGCAUGUAUGUUAUGGGCCAGAGCUCGUCAAAAGUUUCAAGCUGACAAUGACUCACCUUUGUGGACGUCAACUACUCCAUUAGGAGGGGAGGUAGCUUCAUAUGCCAAUAUUACAAAGUCAAAAGUCAUCCAUUUCAAAAAAAAAGAUUAUAUAUAACUGCACAAUGCCAAAAGUUUGCAGUCUUUUCAAAGAUAAUGCUCCAUACCACAGUACAACAAAGGUUGCCAAAAGAAAAGAAAAGGAAAAAAAAUUACAGAAGAUGAUCGAGACUGGUAAAAAUUGGCAUAAGAAACUACCGCCUACUCUCUAUGCUUACGCUGGGGCAAACACCUUUAAUUCCAGUUGUUUCAAAGGUUCCAACCAUCAUCCUUGGAAUGGGUGCAUUGUUUGGCUUUCCUAAGCAGUCUGAUGUGUCGUCAAUAGCUGCGAUGGUUAGCUCCAAGUAAUGGCCAUUGAUCUCCAGCUAUAGGGCAUUAGGCCGUACAUAGCCUCUGAAGCUUAAAAUGAUAGAUUCUUUCUUCAAACCAAUUUCUGACAAAGUGGAUGACGAUAUCAUGAAGGAAGCUCUCUUAGACUUCUAUACAAGUUCAGGGAAGAGGAAACCUGAUCAAAUCAUUAUUUCCAGGGAUGGGGUUAGCGAGUCUCAAUUCAAUCAAGUUUUGAUCAAGUUAUUAAGUCUUGCAAGUUCCUUGACGAGAAGUAGAACCCUAAAGAUUGUGAUUAUUGUUGUACGAAAAACCAUCAUACCAAGUUUUUUCAGCAGGGAUCUCCUGACAAUGUGCUACAUGGUACUGUCAUUGACAACAAAGUAUGCCAUCCAAAGAACAAUGAUUUUUACCUUGGUACCCAUGCUGGAAUAAUUGGAAUCACGAGGUAGACCCACUAUCAUGUUCUCUUAGACCAAGCUCGGUUUUCGACUGAUGAUCUGCAAGAGUUUGUUCAUUCCCUAUCCUAUAUGUAUCAAAGAAGCACCACCGCCAUUUUUUUGUGGCUCCUAUUUGCUACGCUCAUUUGGCAGCUUCACAGUUGGGGGCAAUUUAUGAAGAUUAGGGAUGCUUUAGAAACAUCAUCGAGUCAUGGUGGGAUGUAUGCUCCGGGAGUAAUCUCUGUACCUCAGCUUUCCAAGUUGAAAGAUAAAGUCAGAACUUCAUUCUUGUCUGCUGAGAAUCAUUGAACCAUGUUUUUGUAGGGUUUGACAAACAACAGCCAGGACUGUUGCUGGGGAAAUCCCUUUCAUGGGUUUAUGAAUCAAGAUUUUUCCUCUAAGCUUUGAUGGAGUCAAGAAUUGAAUACCUCUAGUAAACUUAACUUGAAAGUAUUCAUCUUAAGCAAACGUACCAAGAAUGGAUGACACAGACUUAUGACAAAGAAGGUUCAUCCAAAAAGAUUUCAUAAAGGAAACCUUGUGCUGAAACAGAUCAUUCCCAUGCAAAAGGAUGCCAAAUUGGGAAGGGCCAUAUGUUGCGAAGAGGGCUUUCUCUAGAGGUGCACUGAUUUUGACAAGAAAUGGAUAGGAAGAAUUUAUCUAAUCCAGUGAAUUCGGACUGGGUCAAGGAGUAUUUUGUCUGAAGGAGAAGGGAAGCCAAGGUGAAAACCCGCAAAGGGCACUUUGGGACUUCUAUUUCAAAAAAAAAAUAGAGAAAAAGAAAAAAAGAAAAAUGGAGAGGCUAAAGUGAAAACCCGCAAAGGGCGCCUUGAGACCAAAGGGGUUUUGAGUUGAAAACCCGAAAGGGCAGCUCAAAUUUGGAAAGUCAUGCAGUAACUUUGCUAUUCCGGAUUCGACGAGAAGUGAAGUAUGUUACAUAUCGAGGCAUCAACGAAUUACUAUGGAUCUUUUAAACACAUGUUGAACUCAAGAAAGUCUUCAUGGAGCUGGUGUAUAGACGCUCAAGCGACGAUAUCUGGGGCAUCUGAUUUCUGUCCUAUUUACUAUCUUUGGAUUCUUUUUCUUCAAAGAUAUGUUCUCAGGAUAAUCUUUUUGCAUUCCUUCCAAUAAUUUGUCCAAAUCUAAUUAUCCUCAGGAUCCAUUUAUUUGUCUCCCAUUAUUCAUAAAGUAUGUUGCAUUGAAAUAAUGAUAGAUGAACUAAAAUAUCUUCACAAACGAAGUUUUGCAUAUUACUCUGGAAAUUUCUAGAUAAUACAAGAAACUGAAACAAAAUAAUUGUUUAAGGAAUUCUCAUAUGUAUGGGUUGGAGAUACUCGAGAGAUUUUCUUCUUCAAUCCAAAAGGUGGUUGGACGUUUUAAGCAAUAUUGAUCUUAAGAAAGGAUCAUUUCAUAAACAUUUUCAGUGGGUCGUAACAUUUGGGGAAUGGUAUGGUAAACCAAAUUGAUGGAAAAUAUUCGAGGCAUACGAGCAGAGUAUGAUUGAUAUGUCGAGAAAAACGAGGUGGAAAGCUCGAUAAAUGAAUAAGUGAUGACAUCCGAAAUAGGAGUUAUUUUCAUAAAUAUUUUGCAUCAUAAUAUGUCUAAUUAGGAGCAUGACAUCUUAAUUAUUUGGCAUAAGCAUAAAUUCCAGGAAAUCAAUUCUACAAGUGGAUUCCCCAGUGGACAAUGUAACAAGAUUGAUUGAAAAUUACAAAAUUCAUCGCCUUAAUCCCCUAAGCAGUAGGGUAACAGGUUAAAUUUGCAGAUCUUAUCUCCCUAAGCAGUAGUGGAGCAGAUCAAAGACUCGCCUUAAUCCCCUAAGCAGUAGGGUAACAGGUUCACAGAUCUUAUCUUCCUAAGCAGUAGUGGAGCAGAUCAAAGACUCGCCUUAACCCCCUAAGCAGUAGGGUAACAGGCUAAAAUUACAAAUCUUAUCUCCCUAAGCAGUAGCAGAACAGAUCAAAGACUCGCCUUAACCCCCUAAGCAGUAGGGUAAUAGGCUAAAAUUACAAAUCUUAUCUCCCUAAGCAGUAGCAGAACAGAUCAACGACGACUCUCCUUAAUCCCCUAAGUAGUAGGGUAACAGGUCAAAAUUGCAGAUUUUAUCUCCCUAAGCAGUAGUAGAGCAGAUCGAAGAUGCGCCUUAAACCCCUAAGCAGUAGGGUAACAGGUUAAAGUAUAGCAGAUCUGGCCUUCAGGUGUUCACGCUAAAGCAGAUCCAAGAUGAUUUGGCGUCUCUGUAUUGUCAGAGAACAAAUCGAAGAAACAGAUUUGGCAUCUCUAUAUUCGACAGAGAGCAGAUCGAAGACAUAGCUGAUUUGGCUUUCACAUGCUUACGAUGAAGCAAAUCUAAGAUGAUUUGGCAUCUCUGUAUUGUCAGAGAACAAAUCGAAGUUUGGCAUCUCCAUAUUCGACGGAGGGCAGACACAUAGCAGAUCUGGCCUUCAGAUGUUUAUACUGAAGCAAGAUCCAAGAUGGUUUGGCAUCCUUGUGCUUACAAGGAACAAAUCAAAGACAUAGCUGAUUUGGCUUUCACGUGUUUACGUUGAAGCAAGUCUAAGAUGAUUUGGCAUCUCUGUAUUGUCAGAGAACAAAUAGAAGUUUGGCGUCUUCAUAUUCGACAGAGGGCAGACACAUAGCAAAUCUGGCCUUCAGAUGUUUAUACUGAAGCAAGAUCCAAGGUGGUUUGGCAUCCUUGUGUUUACAAGGAACAAAUCGAAGACAUAGCUGAUUUGGCUUUCACGUGUUUACGUUGAAGCAAGUCUAAGAUGAUUUGGUAUCUCUGUAUUGUCAGAGAACAAAUCGAAGUUUGGCAUCUCCAUAUUCGACGGAGGGUAGACACAUAGCAGAUCUGACCUUCAGAUGUUUAUACUGAAGUAAGAUCCAAGAUGGUUUGGCAUCCUUGUGCUUACAAGGAACAAAUCGAAGACAUAGCUGAUUUGGCUUUCACGUGUUUACGUUGAAGAAAGUCUAAGAUGAUUUGGCAUCUCUGUAUUGUCAGAGAACAAGUCGAAGUUUGGAGUCUCCAUAUUCGACGGAGGACAGACAUAUAGCAGAUCUAACCUUCAGAUGAUUAGACUGAAGCAGAUCCAAGAUGGUUUGGUAUCCUUGUGCUUACAAGGAGCAAAUCAAAGACAUAGCUGAUUUGGCUUUCGCGUGUUUACGCUGAAGCAAAUCUAAGAUGAUUUGGCAUCUCUGUAUUGUCAAGGAACAAAUUGAAGAAGCAGAUUUGGCGUCUCUGUGUUCGAUGGAGAGCAGAUCGAAGAUAUCAACAUGACAAUCAUGAGUUUGCAAGAAGCAGAUUGAAGCUGUCAAGAGGCCAUUUAAAGAAGAUCAAGAACUCAAGACUCGGCAAGACCGGGCAAAAUUGGUCUUUUUAUAGUCUUUGCUCUAUUCCUGUUACACAACAAUGAGCAAAGAGGGGCAGCUGUAGACACUCAAUUUUGCUCGGGCCUAGAAAUAAGUCCAAAAACGAAGAUUUCAGUCCAGAAUUACAAAUAUAAUUUGGCCUGACUGGAAUAACCCAUUACUUGAAAAGAUUUAAGGUCCAUCUACAAGUUUGUCUCAUAUGGAAAUAUAAUCUUCAAUGAUAUGCAAUCUUAGAUGUGAUAUGCAAUCUUAGAUAUGAUACAAUCUUAGAUAUGAUUGCAAUCUUAGAUAUGAUUGCAAUCUUAGAUAUGAUACAAUCUUAGAUAUGAUACAAUCUUAGAUAUGAUUGCAAUAUUAGAAUAUGAUAUACAAUCUUAGAAGAUAUGAUUUUGUAAUCUUGGAGAUUUAAUUUGUAGAUAUCCUUUAAUCUUAACCGUUGAUGUAAUUGAUCUCUACCGUUGGAUUUGGGGAGGCUCAACUAUAAAUAGAGGCCUCUCCCUUCAUUGUAAAACAACUUGACUUCACUUGAGUUUUGGGAAGCAAUAAGAAUUCUUGAGAGCAUUCACUCAAAUUUCUCUCCCUCUUGCGUUCUUAUUUUCUACGGUUUGUUCUUAUUUAUUCUUUGUUCAUCUUCGUUUUCUACCUUUUUUUAUUUAAUCCCUAUCUCCUUGAUUUUUUUAUUUCUCUUUUAUAUUUUAUAUUUUUAAUAAUUUUAGUAUUAUAUCAAAUUAUUUUUUAUUAAAUUCUAUAUUAUUCAUUGUUUUAAAAAAUAUAUUUCAUUUAAUUGAAAAAGUUUUUUUCUUAAAUAAGGCAAUGUUUGGUGUUUAGAAAUUCAAAAAAUAGUGCCCUAACAUGCUGGGUUGCGAUUUUUUCGUUUGACUAAAUAACCAAAUAUCCUUUUAAUAAAUUUUCAAAAUCAUGAGAUAAUUUUAGUUACGAGGAUUUAAAACAUCGUUCCUAACAUGCUAGAUGUGAUGUUUGUAUACUUUCGGAACAAAGGAAUCUCAAGUUUCAACUUUAAAUUGUUCAAGUUUUAAAAUCUUUUCAAAUUUUCGACAUUAGGACAAUAAAUAAUCAAUUCGGUACCAAUUUUGGGCGUUACGAGGGUGCUAAUCCUUCCUUGUGCGUAACCAACUCCCGAACCUGUUUUCUUGCAUUUCGUAGACCAAAAUGUUUUAUAAAGGUGAUCCAAUCACACCUAAAAAGGUUGGUGGCGACUCCCAUUUCAUUUUUUCAAAAAGUCGAGCCUCGUUUUUCAAACUUCCCUUUAAAAAAUGGUUUCGACACUCUUUAUAUAUGGAGAUUAAACUCUUCAUAUUCUAAUACGUAAAUAGAAAAAGGGUUACGAGAAUGUGAAAGGUUUAAGGAAGAUUAAAAGUUAAAUGUUAAAGAAGAUGAAAAGUGGAAGAUUAAGGAAGAUGAAAGGUGAAAGGUUGAACAUCCACUUUAUAUCAUUUAUAACACUUCCCCUUGGAUGUCCAUUGUAUAAAGGAUAUGCCUCAUUAAAAAUCUUACUACAAAAAACCCUUUGGGACAAAAACCUAGUGAAGGAAAAAUAAUACAUAAUCCUUUGAUACAUAGUAUAUCACAACCAAAAAAAUGUACUAUGAAUUUACUCCCUCUUAUGUAAGCAUCAUUUCAAAUCUUUGACAACACAAUUCAAUUUUGAAAAUUAACUUCUAAAAUGUAGUAAUAGGGAGUGUCUUAGUAAAAAGAUUUGCCAAGUUCUCACUUGAACAAGUCUGUUGAACAUUUAUAUCUCCAUUCUUUUGUAGAUUAUUUGUGAAGAAAAUUUUUUUUAAUAUAUGUUUUGUUCUAUCACCUUUAAUAUUUCCUUCAUUAAGUUGUGCAAUGCAAGCUGUAUUAUCUUCAUAUAAGAUUGUUGGAGCUUAUUUUUCAGAGCAUAAACCACAAUCUUUUCGUAUAUGAUGAAUUAUAGACCUUAGCCACACACAUUCACGACUAGCCUCAUGGAUUGCAAAAAUCUCAACAUGAGAAAAAGUAGCAGCAAUUGUUUGUUUCAUAAAUCGCCAAGAAAUUGCAGUACCACAAUAUGUGAAAACACAACCAGUUUGUGAUCGAUCAUGUAAGGAUCAUAUAAGUACCCUGCAUCUGCAACAAAUUCUGUUUUGGGUAGGUUAGGGAAAAAUAAACGUAUAUCUAUUGUACCUUGAAGAUAACGAAAAACAUGUUUAAUCUCAUUCCAAUGUUUUCAGGUUGGACAAGAGCUAAGUCUUGCUAAUAAGUUGACAGAAAAUGAUAUAUCAGGUCAUAUAUGACUAGCAAAAUACAUCAAUGCACUAAUAUCACUAAAAUAUGGUACUUCAGGACCAAGAAAAUCUUUAUCUUUUCCCCAAGGAUGGAAAGUGUUUUUAUUUAUAUCAAGUGACCUAACAACCAUUGAAGUGCUCAACGAAUGUGCAUUAUGCAUGUAAAAUCUUCUUAGAAUUUUUUCUAUAUAUAUUAUUUGAUGCACCAGAAUUUUAUUCUUUAGGUGUUCAAUUUGUAACCCUAGCCAAAAUCUUGUCUUUCCAAGGACUUUUAUUUCAAAUUCUUUCUUUAAGCACUCCAUUGUCACUAAAAUCUUUUCAAGAGUCCCAAUGAUAUUUAAAUCAUUAACAUACAAAAUAAUUAUAACAAAUCCUGAUUUGAACCUCUUUAUAAAAAUGUAUGAGGUAAUGGGAUCAUUCUUAUAACAUUCCCUCAAUAAAUACUCACUAAGGCGAUUAUACCACAUGCGCCCAAAUUGUUUCAAUCCAUAAAGGAAUCUGUUGAAUUUGAUUGAGUUAUGUUCUCGAGAACAUGAAUUAGCUACUUUUGGCAGUUUAAAACCUUAUGGGAGUUUAGUGUAAAUGUUAUUAUCAAGUGGGUCAUAUAAAUAGGUUGUAACUACAUCCAUUAGGUGUAAAUCAAGCCCUUCUCUUCUUUCUAGACUAACCAAGAAUCUAAAAGUAGCUGCAUCCACCACAGGAGAGUAUGUCUCUUCAUAAUCAAUACCAGGUCUUUGUGAAAAUCCUUGUGCAACCAAACGCGUUUUAUAACUCACAAUUUCUCCCUUUUCAUUUCUCUUUCUCACAAAAACCCAUUUAUCUUCACAAGAGAUUUUAACUCCGCCUCAAUUGAUUUUUUCGAUUGUGGCCAAUCAUCUCUUUGUCUACAUUCUUCAAUUGACAUUGGUUCAUGAUCCACAUUGUCAUUCAAAAUAUCUAGUGCUACAUUACAUGCAAAUAUGUCAUCAACGUCAAUUUGAUUUCGGUUCCACUUAAUUCUUUACAUGACAUAAUAUGUUGAGAUCUCUUCAUUAUCAAGCACCUGAGAUUUUUUUUGAACUUUAGUCAUGUCUAAAAUCUCUUCUGGCGAUCCUUUUAAAGUCAUUGCUUCCUCGAUCUGACCAUCAUAUGUUUUUUCUCAUUUUCUUUUUCGAGGAUUCUUAUUUUUAAAACCGAUUGGUCUACCACGUUUCAAAUGUGUUUUAGACUCAUUAGCAACUAGAGUUUGUCCUUCACGGACAUAAAUUUUGAUUGGAGCAUUUACAGCUGGUAUGUGUGAUUUUGUCACUUUUUUUGGAUCAGUAAAUGUUCCUGACAAUUGAUUUGCUAAACUUUGUAAAUGAAUUAUCCUCUGAACCUCUAGUUCACAUUGUUGUGUAUGAGGAUCAAGAUGAGACAAUGAUAAUUCAUGCCAAUCUAUUUAUUUUUCCAACUAUUUAUUUUCUCCCCCUAACGUUGGAAAAAUUGACUCAUUAAAAUGACAAUCAACAAAUCGAGCUGUAAAUAAAUUCUCUGUUGAUGGCUCAAGAUAUUUAAUUAUUGAUGGGGAUUCAUAUCCAACAUAUAUUCCUAACCUCAUUUAGGGACUCAUCUUAGAGCAUUGUAGUGGAGCAAUCAAAACAUAUACAAUACAUCCAAAAAUUCUCAUAUGGUAAAUUUUUGGUUAUUGACCAAAAAACAUCUGUAACGGGGAGAACUUAUGGUAACUUGUUGGCCUGACUCAAAUUAGUGAUGUUGUAUGUAGUAUGGCAUGGCCCAAGCAGAAAUUGGAAGUUUUAACUUCAUAAGUAAUGGUAUUGCAAUCAAUUGGAGACGUUUGAUUAAUGAUUCAGCAAAAUUUGUCAUUUUGAUUAAUGAUUCAGCAAAAUUUGUCAUUAUCACAAACAAAAUUUGUCUCCAUUUUCUUCCCUAUAGAAUAAUCUAAAAGAAAGAUAUGACCACCAAAAAAUUGUAAUUCUUCCUAAAGCUCGUUAUGAUUGACUGUAUUUGAGAUUACAAGAUUUUAAAUCUGUGAGUGAAUAUAACUCAGCUAUAUUGAAAAUCACUUCCUAAUUGAAAUUUUGCGGAGAGAACAUAGCUGAUGAGAAUACGUUAGAAAAAACAUACUCCACAUUUCAUGCAAAUAAUAUUGUCCUACAAACACAAUAUCGUGAAAAAGGUUUUAAGAAAUAUUCUGAGUUAAUACCUUGUCUUCUUGUGGUUGAGCAAAAUAAAGAACUACUAAUGAAAAAUAAUGAGUCACGUCCAACUGGCUCUACUCCAUUCCCUGAAGUGAAUGUGACAUCAUAUAACGGAAAAGAUAAAGGCUCAAGGUAUGUAAUACAUUUUAUCAUGAUGUCCAUUAUGAUAAAAUUACUUGUGUUUAUAAUUUGUUUCAUUUUUUCAAAGUUCUACUAAUCUCUUAAUUUGUUAAAAACUUCUAACAUGGUCAAUUUCAUUUAAUUUAAUUUAUGACUAAAUUGUUGUAAUUAUUUGAGUAUUUUUUUCCUAUUAUUUUAUGCUUGAAAGUUUUGUUAAGGGAUUAGUUAUGUUCAUUUGAAAGUUUGUUAAGGAACUACUUAUAUUUAUAUUAAAUUUAUAUUGUAAUCAUAGCUAGCUUUAGGAAGUAUUACGAUUUUCCGGUGAUCAUAUCUUUUUUUAGACUAUUCCAAAAGACAAGUAGAUCUUUAACGGUCAAAUAUUUAGUCUUUAGUCCCUCAUGGAGAUGAUGGCGAAGAAAUAUCAUAGCUUUGGCCUUAUCUUGACUAGAUAUUUCAUUUCCUUCAUUAAUAGUUUCACUAAGGCCUUUUGCAUCUAAGUGUAUUUCAGAAUCUAACAUCCAUGAUAAAUAGUUCUUUUCAGUGAUAUCAAGAGCCACAAAUUCAAGUUUUGCAAGGUUCAACAUUGAUGAUAUAGAUUGAUUUAAACUAACAAAAAUGCAACUCUUGGAUUAAUUUAAGUGCUCGUGUUGAUAAUGUAUUAUAAACAAAAAUAAUAGAUUAAAGAUGGAUAUUAGAAUAUGAGGAUUUUUAUUGCAUUCUAUAUUUUUCAUCAUUUUUUCAAGUAGCAUACUCCUCUCUAUAUAUAGGGAGAUUAGACUCUUCAUACUUUAAUACAUAAAUAGGAAAUGUGUUAUAAGAAGAUGAAAAGUUUAAGGAAGAUUAAAAGUUAAAGGUUAAAGAAGAUGAAAAGUGAAAGGUUAAAGGAGAUGAAAUGUGAAAUGUUGAAUAUCCACUUAAUAACAUUCAUAACACAUAGUACUUUAUAUAAACUUUAGACAUUUAAACAUUUUGGUUAAGUUAAUACCAUUAACUAGGUCAAUUCUAAAAUGGUAAGUUUAUAGUUUAACUAUUUUUAAGUUUAUAAAAAUUAAUAUAAUGAUAAAAUUACAUUUUAACUUUUAAAGAAAACACUUAUAAUUCAAUUAUAUUUCAGAAAAGACUUGGACCUUAAAUAAAAAUAUUAUGUAUAAUUUUAAAUAAUGAAAAUAAAAUUGCUUUUAUUCAAAUUUAAUACUACUUCUUGCUUUAAAGUUUAAAUGUUUUCUAAUGUUGUGAAUGAGUAUAGGAAUGAAUUUUCUCCUGAGUUGAUUUGUUUAUUUCAAAUCCGGGUUAGUGGUGCUAGGGCCAAUGGUAUUAUUAAAAAAAUCAAAUAUUCUAAUUCUUUUUGGGUCAAGGCUAAUAAGUCUGCUGGUGGAAUUUGGUUAUGCUGGAAUAAGGAUAUUCUAGUGAAUAUUUUGGAAAUUCAUUGUCAUGUGAUGCAUUUGAGGAUUUGCAAUAAGUAAGGUUCUAAUAGUUUUAUUUGUUCAAUUGUUUAUGCUAGUCCACAAUCAACAGUAAGAAGGAAGUUGUGGAAGUUGUUGGAUUCUUUGGUAAAUUAAUUAGUUGGUCCUUGGAUUCUGGCUGGAGAUUUUAACUUGAUUAUUGAUAGCUUAGAAAGGGCGAGUGGUGCUUCUAUUUCAAGAAUUGGGUGCAGAUGGUUUAGCAAGUUUUUAUUUAGAAAUGGAUUGCGAGAUUUGGGAGCUAGUGGAGCUCAAUUUACCUGGUGUCAAGGGGACUUGUCUCAGAGAUUGGACAGGGUUGUUUGUAAUUCAGAUUAGGAUUCUGUGUGUCUAAUUCUUAUGUUAAGAAUCUUCAUAGAUUGAAAUCGGAUUAUAGGUUGAUUUUAAUCACGCUCUGUCUGAAGGUGAGCAAAAGUGAUAGGCCAUUCUGUUGUCUUACUAGUUGGAUGUUUCAUGUAGCUUUUUAAUACCUAGUUAGUGAUAAUUGAAACAAUGAGAUGACGGUUGAUGAGAUUUUGGAGCAUUUCCAAGAAGCAGUUCAUGAUUCGAAUAAGCUUGUUUAUGGUAACAUUUUUGUGUAUAAAAGGAGGUUGAUUUUAGAGUUGGAAAGGGUGCAAAGAGUGUUGAAGUGGAAAAAUUCUUUAGGACUUCGCUAUCGUGAACUUGAACUUCAACGGAAAAUAAAAAAAAGUUCUAAAGCAUAAGAAGUUGUUGUGGUUUCAAAAUUUAGAUCAGUUUGGCUCAAGAAUGGUGAUAGGAAUACAAAUUACUCUUAUAGCGUACAUUGGCUAGGCAGAAAAGGAACAAGAUAGAGGGUCUUACCAUUAAGAGUGGUGAUUGGUACUUUGGUGACACAGAGUUGAAGCAGCAUGUUGUAAAUUUUUUUAGAGAACUUUACAUAGUGGAUUAUUUAGUUAGUGGUGUGUUUCCAUGCUAUGGUAAAUUUCCUUCAAUGUAGUCUAAUGAAAGGAGGAGACUCUUAAUGGUUUUUGACGAUGAGGUUUAGGGUGGAUGGUUUUCAGGGGAAGCUUUUUCAAUCAUAAUGGGAUAUUGUUGGGCCUCAGAUAUAUUCCCUAGGCAGGCAUACUUUGGGGGGUCAGCUGUUAGAUCCUAAUUUGAACAAAAAUUUGUUGGUGCUAUUGCCUAAUGUCCAAAGCCCGAAGGGAAUUUAUCAAUUUAGACCGAUAAGUUUGUGUACAGUUAUUAUGAUUAUUACAAAAACUAUAGUUAAUAGACUGAGACCACUGAUGGUUAAGCUAACUUGUUAGAACCAAGUAAGUUUUAUCUCAGCCAGGAUUAUCAUUGAUAAUGUAGUUAUGGCACAAGAAGCUGUGCAUUCUUCGAAGGAUUUUAAAGGUAGUAGAUAUUGGAUGGUUCUAAAGAUCGAUUUAGAGAAGUCUUAUGAUAGAAUCAGAUAGGAUUUUUUGAAAGACACACUGUCUAAAGUUAGGUUUCCUCUGUAUUUAGUUGAUUUGAUUUUAAACUGUCUCAUUGUCGACUCUUCAGGUUUUUUGGAAUAGUGUUGUUACAAAGCCUUCAAGCCUAUGAGGGGAAUAAGGCAGGGAGAUCCACUAUUUCCUUAUCUUUUUGUAUUUUGCAUUGAGAGACUAAGGCAUCUAAUUGGGGAGGCGGUUGAACGAGACUCUUGGAAGCCUUUGUUUCUUUCACGUAGAGGCCCGGUCGUAUAUUACUUGUUCUUUGUUGAUGAUUUAAUGCUAUUUGGUAAAGCUAAUAGGGGUCAAGCAGAUAUUGUAAAUGGUAUUUUGGACACAUUCUGUCAUUUUUCUGGUCAAAAAGUGGAUAGAGGUAAAUCACAGAUUUUUUCUCCUAAUACACUAGACAACCUUGCGGAUACUAUUUGUGUUAAGAUAGGUUUUAACCGAGUAGAGGAUCUUGUUAUCUACCUUGGAUUACCGUUGUUAUAUAAUAGAGUUACGAUGAACAAAGUAAAGAAAAAUUUAACUGGGUGAGAAGCGAGGAAAUUGUGUUUGGUUGGAUGUAUAACUCUAGCAAGGUCAAUUCUCUUAGCUACUCCAAAUCAUUUUGUGUACGAUGUGUAUCCUUAUUUUUGUAUGUAAGAGGAUUGAGAAUAUUGCUCAUAACUUCAUUUGGAAAGCUAGUUUGAGGUUAAGAAAACCCGCAUUGUUAUCUUAGGGUGAGUGUUUUCGUCUGCUAGACUCUGAGGCAUAGUUCUGAGAAACUUCCAAGAUUAGAGCAAAGUUUUCUUAUUGAAGCUUGGUUUUUAGUGCUUUCAAAUACAUAUUCCUUGUGGGUUAGAGUGAUAAAGAGUAAAUACAACGUACAGGGUUUGCUUCUAAGCUCUAUUUCCAAAAGUAACUAUUGUUUCAUUUGGAGGUCUUUAAUGAAGUUCUGGCCAGAAAUCAUUGCUAAUGUCUACUGGUUCGUUGGAGAUGGUCGUCUAAUAAACUUUUGGAAUGAUUUGUGGCUUAAGCAAGUGGGUUCUCUCCGUGAUUCCUAUAUAGGUCCUGGACAGCCGGAUGGCACUUUGUGAGUUUACAACAUGGUAUUUAAGAAUGGAAGCUAAGACUAGAGUCAUCUUAGUGAUGUUGUAUCAGGUCAUAUUAUCUUGCAAAUUUCAGCCAUAAUGUCACCGUCACUUGAAGCGGGUUAGGAUUGCCUAGCUUGGAAAUAGAUGAAAAGAGAUGUGUUUUCUUUUGCCAAAACUUAUAGGAAGUUGGUCUAUGUUGAAAACAUUGUUUCUCCUAUUGUUUAGAGUUUGAUAUGGAAAGUGAGGGCACCUCAGAGGGUAAGAGUUCUCUUGUGGAUUUUUUGGAAGAAUAGGUUGCUGACAAAUUGUAAAAGAGUGCGAAGACAUAUAACUAGCGAUGGUGAUUGUCCUUGAUGUAGUAGUGUUUUGGAAACGGAGGUCUAUGCUAUUUGGGAUUGCGCUUUUUCUAGAGUUGUAUGGCUUGCUGUGGUUCCAAUGUGAGUUUAUAAUGUUUUUUUAUCUCUAUCAUUUAAUGAAUGGUUCUUAUGGAAUUUACAUAAUAAAGGGAGUUGUAGUAAUGCUGAUAUUGAUUGGCAAACUCUGUUCUCAAAUUCAUGUUGGUUUCUUUGGAAAAACAAAAAUUCAUUUGUUUUUUCUAACAGUAAUAGUUGUGUUCCAACCCUUGUGGAUACAUGUUAUACGUGGGCAAGGAGUUAUGCAGAGAUGAAUUUGAAAUUGGAUCAUCCUAGAUCUAUGUGCUCUUUAUUGAAUUGGUCUCGUCCAACGAGGGAUUGGAUAAAGCUUAAUAAGAAUGGGGCAGUGUCACAUAAUGGACUUCAUGCGUCCAUUGGAAGUGUACUUUAAGAUUCAAAUGUAGAAUGGUUGUGUGGUUACUCGAUGUCAUUGGGUAAGGACUCCGUUUUCAAAGUUGAAGCCAGAGCGAAGGUGGAAAGUCUUUUUAUAACUUGGGGAAAGGGGUUCAAGAGGAUUGAGGUGGAAUGUGAUAAUGCUUUGUUAAUAGAAUUGUUGUUAGCAGCUUGUGGGGCUAAUAGUAGCUUGGUAGAGUUAAGGCUGUUGCAUCAACUCUUGUGUAGGAAGUAGGAUGCAAGAGCAUGCCACAUCUCAAGGGAACAUAAUGAGAUUGCAGAUCAUAUGACUAAAUGUGCUGCAAUUGGUAAUCAAUCUUAUAGUUGUUUGAAGAACCUUCAGUUUGGGUACAAGAUUUAUUUAUUGUUGAUCACACUGUAUCAUUACCUACAUAAUGUUAACACGUUGAUGUAACCACUUUAUGCUAUUUCUUUUUACCAAAGAAAAAUGUUUAAAUGUUUUCAAGAAUCAUUUUAAUUCAAAAGAAUACAAACAAAAAUAGAAACAUGGAAUAUUGAACAUGCACCAAAUUAUGUAACCUCUUAAAAGAAAAGAAUAUAUUACAAAUUUUGCCUAAAUAUUUUUAAAUUGCCAAUGAUAAUCGUAUGCAAAUUUUAAUGGCGUAUUAAGACAUUUAAUAUAUGUUGUAAAGUAUAAAUAAAAGAAAUAGUAGAAUAAUGCAUAAAUUUUUUUUAUAUACAAUAAGGAAACGUGAUGAACUAUGUCUCACUUAAAUUGCAAUAUUUAAUUGUUUUUGUUUUUGUUAGUUUUUUAAACCGUACGUAUAGAAAGUCAUUAUCCAAACAUAAUCAAUAUGAAAUAAAAGUUCAUUCGAUGGUUUUUUUUUUAAUUACAAAUUAAUGAUAAUUCAUGUAUCACUUUUCUUUUUUUUAAAAAUAAAAUACAACAAUUGCAAAUCCGAAUUUUUACAAAUGAAAUUUUCUUUUGCUAGCAAAAAUAAAACACCAAUUAUAUUAAAUUAAUUUAGUAAUACCAUAUCUAAUAAUUUACUCUACACGAAUUAAAGUGCCUUGUAUUAUUAUUUGAUAUUUUAUGAAAAUCAAACUGAUUUAUGAUUUUUAUGACCAAUCUAAAUGUAUUGUUAAAUAGAAUGUAUAAUUGGUUAAGAUAUCAAUUCAAGCUAUAAAAUGAUAUAAACAUGUUGACUUAUAAUAUGUGCUAGAUUAAAAAACAGAAAAAGAAAUACAAAGAGGUCGAAUUUAUCAACCUUUUACAUAAAAGAAGAAAACAAAUAAAUUAAAAUCAAUUCGCAAUUUAACUUAAUUUAUUAAUUCAAUUGCUCAAUGAAUUACAUCUUCAACCGGCACAUAGGUUCAAAGUGGAAUUGGAUCGAUGAGCAAUGAAGUGAUCCCACCUUUAGCAGCUUUGCCAACAUGUGUAUAACCAUCUCCUUCUCUGUAAAGCACAUCCAUCACUCUUGCAAGGUUGAGACUUCUAUUUAGAACAGGUACUGGCAUUUCUGUUGGUUUCAGGAACUCUUCGUUAAUGUCCUUCCAGGAGCUUUCUAUAUGCUUGUUGAAUUCGUCAUAUGCCUCUUGUGCCGUUACGCCAUAUUGUUCCAUGUAGCACUCGAUGGCUGAGCAAUCAUCUUCUCUCCGAUGCUUGAACUUGUGUUCAGCGAUGUCAUCCAUGAACCUGCAAAUUAUUGUGGAAGCUGUGAUGAUCUUAGGGUCAUUGGUUGCCCAUUCAAAUGUCUCUGGAGUUAUAACAUCUCCCAUGCCCACAAAAGCUGUAAUAGCAAGCAUGCCAUAGCCCGAGGUUGGCAAUGCAUUAUCUCUAAACUCCUCAAAUGUUGGUUUGUAGUUUUGAUGGGUCCAUUUGGCUUCCAAAAGGUAAGCUUGAGCAAGUCGUAUCAUCUGC